CGUAGGUGGCGAGCGUUGUCCGGAUUUACUGGGUGUAAAGGGCGUGUAGGCGGGUUUUCAAGUCAGAUGUGAAAUACCGGGGCUUAACUCCGGGGCUGCAUUUGAAACUGAGAGUCUUGAGUGCCGGAGAGGAAAGCGGAAUUCCUAGUGUAGCGGUGAAAUGCGUAGAUAUUAGGAGGAACACCAGUGGCGAAGGCGGCUUUCUGGACGGUAACUGACGCUGAGGCGCGAAAGCAUGGGGAGCAAACAGGAUU
rnacentral:rRNA from 1 species